UACGUAGGGUGCAAGGCGUUGUCCGGAAUUAUUGGGCGUAAAAGAGCUCGGUAGGCGGUCUGUCGCGUCGGCUGUGAAAACUCGGGGCUCAACCCCGAGCCUGCAGUCGAUACGGGCAGACUAGAGUGCUGUAGGGGAGACUGGAAUUCCUGGUGUAGCGGUGGAAUGCGCAGAUAUCAGGAGGAACACCGGUGGCGAAGGCGGGUCUCUGGACUGUGA
rnacentral:rRNA from 1 species